ACCACUGGGUAGCUCAGUCAGUAGAGCAUGAGACUCAAUCUCAGGGUCAUGAGUUCAAGUCUCAUGCUGGGCA